UCCCUGGUGGCUCAGAUGAUAAAGCGUCUUCCUGCAAUGCAGGAGACCCGGGUUCAAUCCCCGGUUUGGGAA
rnacentral:tRNA from 1 species